UCCAGGUGUGUCCCGGGCGUGCCCAGGUGUGCCCAGGUGUGUCCAGGUGUGUCCCGGGCGUGCCCAGGAGCCGUGGGCGUGUCCCGGGCGGGGAGGGGGCGGGGUCUCCUGGCGCUCCUCUGACGUCAUCCCUGAUUCGCUCGGGGGGGGCUGGCUCGGGGGUCCCUGAUUGCUCGAGCCCAUGCGGUCGCUAAUUAAUCGGUAAUUAACGGUCGGUAAUUAUUGCUCUAGGGCGGGCGGGGCCCGCGGUUCUACAGUUUGGCAACGCAAAAAACCCAAAAACCCGGAAAUAAACCCAAAAAAAUAAAA